UACGUAGGGUGCAAGCGUUAAUCGGAAUUACUGGGCGUAAAGCGUGCGCAGGCGGCUUUGCAAGACAGAUGUGAAAUCCCCGGGCUUAACCUGGGAACUGCAUUUGUGACUGCAUGGCUGGAGUGCGGCAGAGGGGGAUGGAAUUCCGCGUGUAGCAGUGAAAUGCGUAGAUAUGCGGAGGAACACCGAUGGCGAAGGCAAUCCCCUGGGCCUGUACUGACGCUCAUGCACGAAAGCUG
rnacentral:rRNA from 1 species